GUCUACGCCAUGCCACCCUGAAUGUGCCCGAUCUUGUCUGAUCUCAGAAGCUAAGCAGGGAUGGGCUUGCGUAGUACAUGGAUGGGAGACCACGUAGGAAUACUUGGUGCUGUAGGCG
rnacentral:rRNA from 1 species